rnacentral:rRNA from 1 species
CUAAGAAUAUUCCGCAAUGGACGAAAGUCUGACGGAGCGACGCCGCGUGGAUGACGAAGGCCGAAAGGUUGUAAAGUCCUUUUGCUGGGGAAGAAUAACCAUGGGAGGAAAUGCCCGUGGGAUGACAUGAACCGGCGAAUAAGCCCCGGCUAACUACGUGCCAGCAGCCGCGGUAACACGUAGGGGGCGAGCGUUGUUCGGAAUUACUGGGCGUAAAGGGCAUGUAGGCGGCUCUGUAAGCCUGGCGUGAAAGUCACCGGCUCAACCGGUGGAUUGCGCUGGGAACUGCGGGGCUCGAGUCAUGGAGAGGGAGCUAGAAUUCCUGGUGUAGGGGUGAAAUCUGUAGAGAUCAGGAAGAAUACCAGUGGCGAAGGCGAGCUCCUGGCCAAUGACUGACGCUGAGGUGCGAAAGUGUGGGGAUCAAACAGG